rfam:Absidia glauca strain CBS 101.48 genome assembly, contig: contig_9
AGUCUGGUAACUCAAUGGUAGAGUGAUAUGUUGAUAACGUAUAAGUUAGAGGUUCGAGCCCUCUUCAGACUA